GAAAAUUCAAACUCAACAACAAAUCCAAGAAGGAGAAAUAGAAUCAAACAACAUCAAAUCAUCCAAAAGUCCCAAAUUAAUUUCAAUUCAUUCAAAAAUAAAACAAAACUAUCCAAAUCAAUUGAGCAAAUAAACUUAUUCCAACUACUUAAAAAAAAUUAUUCAAAAUAAAAACAAAAUAGAAAAAACUCAUUGAAAAGCCCAAUCAGCAAAAGGUCAACACUAAAAAAAGUCAAUCAACAAAAACCAAAAUGAAUAACAACAGUUCUUCAAUUGUCCAAAUCAACUAUUAUCGCUGGCACAAUGAACUGUGGACAAGCGCACAGGGGUAGUGCUGUAGUCUGGUGCAAUGAUAGGGAGCACAAGGGCUAUGGCUGGCAAGUCCUCGAGAAGCUCCCAACUGAGGCUGAUGAUUAGGAGCACACGUGCAGUGGUUCUUAGUCUCUGCAAUCUCAAUUUCUGCAGAUUAAGGCCUUAAGGAGAGGAGAAAAAACUGGGUUAGUUGGUUGGUUGGUUGGUGGUGGAAGAGGGAGGGGGGUAGGCUGCUGGGUACGUUCACAGAAAGCAUUGGGUAUUGG
rnacentral:misc_RNA from 1 species